rnacentral:rRNA from 1 species
UACGAAGGGGGCUAGCGUUGUUCGGGAUUAACUGGGCGUUAAAGGGUGCGUAGGCGGGGUUUUAAGUCAGGGGGUGAAAACUCCUGGAGCUCAACUCCAGAACUAGCCUUUGAUACUGAAGAUCUUGAGUUCGGGGAGAGGUGAGUGAACUGCGAGUGUAGAAGGUGAAAUUCGUAGAUAUUCGCAGAACACCAGUGGCGAAGGCGGCUCACUGGCCCGAUACUGACGCUGAGGCACGAAAGCGUGGGAGCAAACAGGGAGUUAAGAUAUCCCAUGGUACG